rnacentral:piRNA from 1 species
UGCAAGUGUCCAAUGUCCGUCCA